AUUGAACGCUGGCGGCAUACUUUACACAUGCAAGUCGAACGGUAACAGGGUGCUUGCACCGCUGACGAGUGGCGAACGGGUGAGUAAUGCGUCGGAACGUGCCGAGUAGUGGGGGAUAACGCAGCGAAAGUUGUGCUAAUACCGCAUACGUACUGAGGUAGAAAGUGGGGGACCUUCGGGCCUCACGCUAUUCGAGCGGCCGACGUCUGAUUAGCUAGUAGGUGAGGUAAAGGCUCACCUAGGCGACGAUCAGUAGCGGGUCUGAGAGGAUGAUCCGCCACACUGGGACUGAGACACGGCCCAGACUCCUACGGGAGGCAGCAGUGGGGAAUUUUGGACAAUGGGCGCAAGCCUGAUGCAGCCAUGCCGCGUGUAUGAAGAAGGCCUUCGGGUUGUAAAGUACUUUCAGCGGGGAGGAAGGCGGUGAAGUUAAUAACUUCACCGAUUGACGUUACCCGCAGAAGAAGCACCGGCUAACUCCGUGCCAGCCGCCGCGGUAA
rnacentral:rRNA from 1 species